rnacentral:rRNA from 1 species
UGAGCAAUCUGCCCCUGACUCUGGGAUAAGCGCUGGAAACGGCGUCUAAUACUGGAUAUGAGCUGUAAUCGCAUGGUCAGUAGCUGGAAAGAUUUUUUGGUCAGGGAUGAGCUCGCGGCCUAUCAGCUUGUUGGUGAGGUAAUGGCUCACCAAGGCGUCGACGGGUAGCCGGCCUGAGAGGGUGACCGGCCACACUGGGACUGAGACACGGCCCAGACUCCUACGGGAGGCAGCAGUGGGGAAUAUUGCACAAUGGGCGCAAGCCUGAUGCAGCAACGCCGCGUGAGGGAUGACGGCCUUCGGGUUGUAAACCUCUUUUAGCAGGGAAGAAGCGAAAGUGACGGUACCUGCAGAAAAAGCGCCGGCUAACUACGUGCCAGCAGCCGCGGUAAUACGUAGGGCGCAAGCGUUAUCCGGAAUUAUUGGGCGUAAAGAGCUCGUAGGCGGUUUGUCGCGUCUGCUGUGAAAUCCCGAGGCUCAACCUCGGGUCUGCAGUGGGUACGGGCAGACUAGAGUGCGGUAGGGGAGAUUGGAAUUCCUGGUGUAGCGGUGGAAUGCGCAGAUAUCAGGAGGAACACCGAUGGCGAAGGCAGAUCUCUGGGCCGUAACUGACGCUG